GCCAACGGAGCAGAAGCACAGCACAGCAUCGAAAAAGUGCAGACACACUCUCUCUCUCUCUCUCUCUCUCUAGCCGAGUGGCGACCGUACGCCGCCGGCGAUGUCGCCGGAGAUACCGGCGGCGCCACCUCCCGCUCUCCCUCCUCCCUGACUCAGCCCGCUUCCGCCGCCGCCGCCGCAGCCACCGAACCGCCGGACGCCGCCACAAUGCCGGCCUACGCUCCUCCGCAACCGCCGCAGAACCUCAAGCACAGGGUCCUCACCUGCCUCACCAAGCUCGCCGACCGCGACACUCACUCCAUGGCGUCCGCGGAGCUGGACUCCAUAGCCCGGUCGCUCGAUCCGGCGUCGUUCGCGGCCUUCAUCGCGUGCAUCAACUCCACCGACGCGUCCGACAAGUCUCCGGUGCGCAAGCAAUGCGUGAACCUCCUCGCGACUCUGUCGGCCACUCACGGCAACACUCUCUCGCCUCACCUCCCGAAGAUGAUCUCCGCCGUCACGCGCCGCCUCCGGGAUCCGGACUCCGCCGUCCGAUCCGCCUGCGUCAGCGCCGCCGCGGCCCUUGCCACGAACGUGAGCAAACCUUCGUUCGAUUCGUUCCUGAAGGCGUUCUCCGACGCGCUCUUCACCGAACAAGACGUGAACGCUCAGACGAGCGCGGCUCUGUGUUUAGCGUCUGCUGUUAAUGCUUCGCCGGAUCCUGAGCCUGGAAAAUUGUGUAGGUUGUUGCCGAGGUUCGAGAGACUGUUGAAGAACGACGCUUUUAGGGCGAAACCGGCGGCACUGACGCUGAUUGAGAGCGUAGUUGGUGUCGGCGCGGCUAGGAGUGAGGGAGUGUUGAAGAAUUUGGUGCCUUGUGUGCUUGGGUUCCUCAGUGGCGAGGAUUGGGCUGCGAGGAAGGCCUCCGCGGAGGUUCUACUGAAGUUGGCGGUGGUGGAGAGAGAUUUGUUGGUGGAGUUUAAGCCCGCGUGUUUGAAGGUCUUUGAGAAUCGGCGGUUUGACAAGGUGAAGGCAGUUAGGGAGGUUAUGAACCAGAUGCUGGAGGCCUGGAAGCUGAUUCCUGAUCUUUCUGAGGAGGUGUCCACUCCGCAUCAGUCAGUCUCUUCUUCCAAAGAAAAUGCGAGCGACGGGCGUUAUCCAUCUGCAUCGAGAACUCUUUCUUCUUCUGGAUCUGUUGGGCCUCUGAUGAGGAAAAAACAAACACCACCUAGCCGUCCAACUCCACCGACUAGUUCAUCUGCUUCUGCAUCUGCGAGCACUCUAAGGAAGAGAAGUCCACUGAAGAGUAGCAACAGAAAUGUCAGUCCAGUCCUUCGAAAGGGGGAUCAUAAGAAGCCUUCGGACUGGAAAGUUGAAAUUGCUAUUUCCAGAUCUACCUUAUCAAAAGGGACUGGUGGGGAUGAUCUCAGGGAGAGGAAUGAAAACAUUCCUCAGAGAAAGAGCAAUGAGAUUAAUGGGGUCUCAAAGCCAGAAACGAAAAGAGCCCUAUUCAGCAAGAACUCUGAUGAGAAUUUGCCCAAGCCUAGUGGAUUCAGGUCUGGAUCUCGUGUGGUUCCAUGUCCUGAGGAGAGGUCUGAUUUUACUCUUGUAGGUAGUAACACAGCUGAAGAUCACCACCGGAAUCACAAGGAUUGUGAAGAUUUAUCAUUAAUCCGCAAUCAGCUCGUUCAGAUUGAGCAGCAACAAUCAAGUCUACUAGAUCUCCUUCAGAGAUUCAUUGGGAGCUCACAAAAUGGAAUGCGUUCUCUGGAGACACGUGUGCACGGUUUAGAGAUGGCGUUGGAUGAGAUCUCAUAUGACUUGGCCCUAACAAGUGGAAGGAUGACUAACACUGACUCCAGAAGAACCUCCUGUUGCAUGUUACCUACAGAUUUCUUGAGUUCAAGAUUUCGGAGGAAGCCUGAGGGCCGGUACUCGAGUUCCAGGCUCAUUUCUUCCAAUACACCAUCAGUACCCUCCGCACGCUUCAGAGGUGAUAGGAGCUGUGACAAUGGAGUGUGUAAUUUGGAGAACCGCAGGUUUCGACAGCAGGGUGGUGCUGGCUUCAUGGUGAAUCCAUUGGCCAAGAUUCAUACUGAGAAUCAGUUGAUUCCUGAGAUGGUGCAGUAGUAGCCCAUACAAUUGCCAGGUAUAGAGUCAUGAUAUUUCCGCCAGUUUUUAGUUCCGUCUUGGCGGAUAUUGACCGAAACCUCAUCGCAAGACAAGUGAUGGCAUUAUGCGUAGUUUUGUUUCUGAUGGAACUGGAACCUCUGAAGUCGAGCAGCUUACCAGAUGGACCGUUCCACGUUUAAGACUUGAGACUUCUCUUGUUAAAGUUCCUGUAAAGAUGAAUCCGGUGAGAGAGAGAGAAGGAAACAGAAGCCGUCACAGAUCGCCUUUUGUAAUACUUGAAGUGAAAAAUCAGCACACCAGAUGACAUCAACCUGGGCAUCCCAAGUACAGAGCAUGGAAUGUGUACAGAGGGUGAUGCUGUCUUCUCUCUUCAGUCGGUCACCUUAAGCUUCGAUCUCUCUCCCCAGAUCUUAGAGUUUCUUGUAUUGCUCUCUUAAUGAUUGAACGCUUGUGUAAUCACUCUCCACUGGUCAGUGUUUGCAAAAUCUCACUUCAUCGGACAAA